rnacentral:rRNA from 2 species
GGUUAAGCGACUAAGCGUACACGGUGGAUGCCCUGGCAGUCAGAGGCGAUGAAGGACGUGCUAAUCUGCGAAAAGCGUCGGUAAGGUGAUAUGAACCGUUACAGCCGGCGAUGUCCGAAUGGGGAAACCCAGUGUGAUUCGUCACACUAUCGUUAACUGAAUACAUAGGUUAACGAGGCGAACCGGGGGAACUGAAACAUCUAAGUACCCCGAGGAAAAGAAAUCAACCGAGAUUCCCCCAGUAGCGGCGAGCGAACGGGGAGCAGCCCAGAGUCUGAAUCAGCUUGUGUGUUAGUGGAACGGUCUGGAAAGUCCGACGGUACAGGGUGAUAGUCCCGUACACCAAAAUGCACAGGCUGUGAACUCGAAGAGUAGGGCGGGACACGUGGUAUCCUGUCUGAAUAUGGGGGGACCAUCCUCCAAGGCUAAAUACUCCUGACUGACCGAUAGUGAACCAGUACCGUGAGGGAAAGGCGAAAAGAACCCCGGCGAGGGGAGUGAAAAAGAACCUGAAACCGUGUACGUACAAGCAGUGGGAGCACCUUCGGGUGUGACUGCGUACCUUUUGUAUAAUGGGUCAGCGACUUAUAUUCUGUAGCAAGGUUAACCGUAUAGGGGAGCCGCAGGGAAACCGAGUCUUAACUGGGCGUUAAGUUGCAGGGUAUAGACCCGAAACCCGGUGAUCUAGCCAUGGGCAGGUUGAAGGUUGGGUAACACUAACUGGAGGACCGAACCGACUAAUGUUGAAAAAUUAGCGGAUGACUUGUGGCUGGGGGUGAAAGGCCAAUCAAACCGGGAGAUAGCUGGUUCUCCCCGAAAGCUAUUUAGGUAGCGCCUCGUGAAUUCAUCUUCGGGGGUAGAGCACUGUUUCGGCUAGGGGGUCAUCCCGACUUACCAACCCGAUGCAAACUACGAAUACCGAAGAAUGUUAUCACGGGAGACACACGGCGGGUGCUAACGUCCGUCGUGAAGAGGGAAACAACCCAGACCGCCAGCUAAGGUCCCAAAGUCAUGGUUAAGUGGGAAACGAUGUGGGAAGGCACAGACAGCCAGGAUGUUGGCUUAGAAGCAGCCAUCAUUUAAAGAAAGCGUAAUAGCUCACUGGUCGAGUCGGCCUGCGCGGAAGAUGUAACGGGGCUAAACCAUGCACCGAAGCUGCGGCAGCGACACUAUGUGUUGUUGGGUAGGGGAGCGUUCUGUAAGCCUGCGAAGGUGACCUGUGAGGGUUGCUGGAGGUAUCAGAAGUGCGAAUGCUGACAUAAGUAACGAUAAAGCGGGUGAAAAGCCCGCUCGCCGGAAGACCAAGGGUUCCUGUCCAACGUUAAUCGGGGCAGGGUGAGUCGACCCCUAAGGCGAGGCCGAAAGGCGUAGUCGAUGGGAAACAGGUUAAUAUUCCUGUACUUGGUGUUACUGCGAAGGGGGGACGGAGAAGGCUAUGUUAGCCGGGCGACGGUUGUCCCGGUUUAAGCAUGUAGGCUGGUUAUCCAGGCAAAUCCGGAUAAUCAAGGCUGAGGUGUGAUGACGAGGCACUACGGUGCUGAAGUAACAAAUGCCCUGCUUCCAGGAAAAGCCUCUAAGCAUCAGGUAACAUCAAAUCGUACCCCAAACCGACACAGGUGGUCAGGUAGAGAAUACCAAGGCGCUUGAGAGAACUCGGGUGAAGGAACUAGGCAAAAUGGUGCCGUAACUUCGGGAGAAGGCACGCUGGUGUGUAGGUGAAGUCCCUGCGGAUGGAGCUGAGACCAGUCGAAGAUACCAGCUGGCUGCAACUGUUUAUUAAAAACACAGCACUGUGCAAACACGAAAGUGGACGUAUACGGUGUGACGCCUGCCCGGUGCCGGAAGGUUAAUUGAUGGGGUUAUCCGUAAGGAGAAGCUCUUGAUCGAAGCCCCGGUAAACGGCGGCCGUAACUAUAACGGUCCUAAGGUAGCGAAAUUCCUUGUCGGGUAAGUUCCGACCUGCACGAAUGGCGUAAUGAUGGCCAGGCUGUCUCCACCCGAGACUCAGUGAAAUUGAACUCGCUGUGAAGAUGCAGUGUACCCGCGGCAAGACGGAAAGACCCCGUGAACCUUUACUAUAGCUUGACACUGAACAUUGAGCCUUGAUGUGUAGGAUAGGUGGGAGGCUUUGAAGCGUGGACGCCAGUCUGCGUGGAGCCAACCUUGAAAUACCACCCUUUAAUGUUUGAUGUUCUAACGUUGGCCCCUGACCGGGGUUGCGGACAGUGUCUGGUGGGUAGUUUGACUGGGGCGGUCUCCUCCCAAAGCGUAACGGAGGAGCACGAAGGUUAGCUAAUCCUGGUCGGACAUCAGGAGGUUAGUGCAAUGGCAUAAGCUAGCUUGACUGCGAGCGUGACGGCGCGAGCAGGUGCGAAAGCAGGUCAUAGUGAUCCGGUGGUUCUGAAUGGAAGGGCCAUCGCUCAACGGAUAAAAGGUACUCCGGGGAUAACAGGCUGAUACCGCCCAAGAGUUCAUAUCGACGGCGGUGUUUGGCACCUCGAUGUCGGCUCAUCACAUCCUGGGGCUGAAGUAGGUCCCAAGGGUAUGGCUGUUCGCCAUUUAAAGUGGUACGCGAGCUGGGUUUAGAACGUCGUGAGACAGUUCGGUCCCUAUCUGCCGUGGGCGCUGGAGAAUUGAGGGGGGCUGCUCCUAGUACGAGAGGACCGGAGUGGACGCAUCACUGGUGUUCGGGUUGUCAUGCCAAUGGCACUGCCCGGUAGCUAAAUGCGGAAGAGAUAAGUGCUGAAAGCAUCUAAGCACGAAACUUGCCCCGAGAUGAGUUCUCCCUGAGACUUUAAGUCUCCUGAAGGAACGUUAAAGACGAUGACGUUGAUAGGCCGGGUGUGUAAGCGCAGCGAUGCGUUGAGCUAACCGGUACUAAUGAACCGUGAGGCUUAACCUU